AGGACGAACGCUGGCGGCGUGCUUAACACAUGCAAGUCGAGCGGAAAGGCCCUUCGGGGUACUCGAGCGGCGAACGGGUGAGUAACACGUGAGUAAUCUGCCCCUAGCUCUGGGAUAGCUCCGGGAAAACCGGGAUUAAAUACCAGAUACAACCACUUUAGACAUCUCUUGUGGUGGAAAGAAUUUCGGCUAGGGAUGAACUCGCGGCCUAUCAGCUUGUUGGUGAGGUAACGGCUCACCAAGGCGACGACGGGUA
rnacentral:rRNA from 1 species